UACAGAGGUCUCAAGCGUUGUUCGGAUUCAUUGGGCGUAAAGGGUGCGUAGGUGGCGCUGUAAGUCGGGUGUGAAAUUUCGGAGCUUAACUCCGAAACUGCAUUCGAUACUGCGGUGCUUGAGGACUGGAGAGGAGACUGGAAUUCAUGGUGUAGCAGUGAAAUGCGUAGAGAUCAUGAGGAAGACCAGUGGCGAAGGCGGGUCUCUGGACAGUUCCUGACACUGAGGCACGAAGGCCAGGGGAGCAAACGUG
rnacentral:rRNA from 1 species